AUUGAACGCUGGCGGCAUGCUUUACACAUGCAAGUCGAACGGUAACAGGCCGCAAGGUGCUGACGAGUGGCGAACGGGUGAGUAAUGCAUCGGAACGUGCCCAGUCGUGGGGGAUAACGCAGCGAAAGCUGCGCUAAUACCGCAUACGAUCUAUGGAUGAAAGCGGGGGACCGUAAGGCCUCGCGCGAUUGGAGCGGCCGAUGUCAGAUUAGGUAGUUGGUGGGGUAAAGGCUCACCAAGCCAACGAUCUGUAGCUGGUCUGAGAGGACGACCCGCCGCAAUGGGGCUUGGGAACGGGCCAGGCGCCUUAGGGGGGGAGGAAUGGGGAAUUUUGGACAAUGGGCGCAAGCCUGAUCCAGCAAUGCCGCGUGCAGGAAGAAGGCCUUCGGGUUGUAAACUGCUUUUGUACGGAACGAAACGGUCUGGGUUAAUACCUCGGGCUAAUGACGGUACCGUAAGAAUAAGCACCGGCUAACUACGUGCCAGCAGCCGCCGUAAGAC
rnacentral:rRNA from 1 species